rnacentral:tRNA from 1 species
GUGUAGCGUAGCCUGGUAGCGCGCCUGCUUUGGGAGCAGGAUGUCGGGAGUUCGAAUCUCUCCAC